GGUUUGCUGUUGCACCAUCAUUCCUCUGGGGAGCAGGCCCUGGGGGACAGGGAAAAGCACACCAGGAGCUUGUCCUCUAGGGCCUGCAGUCUGGCGGGAGUGUGACGUGCACCGGGACC
rnacentral:miRNA from 1 species